CCUACGGGGGGCUGCAGUGGGGAAUAUUGGACAAUGGGGGCAACCCUGAUUCAGCCAUGCCGCGUGUGUGAAGAAGGCCCUCGGGUUGUAAAGCACUUUCAGUGAGGAAGAACGCCUGGUGGUUAAUACCCAUCAGGAAAGACAUCACUCACAGAAGAAGCACCGGCUAACUCCGUGCCAGCAGCCGCGGUAAUACGGAGGGUGCGAGCGUUAAUCGGAAUUACUGGGCGUAAAGCGCGCGUAGGUGGCUUGAUAAGCCGGUUGUGAAAGCCCCGGGCUCAACCUGGGAACGGCAUCCGGAACUGUCAAGCUAGAGUGCAGGAGAGGAAGGUAGAAUUCCCGGUGUAGCGGUGAAAUGCGUAGAGAUCGGGAGGAAUACCAGUGGCGAAGGCGGCCUUCUGGACUGACACUGACACUGAGGUGCGAAAGCGUGGGUAGCAAACAGGAUUAGAUACCCGGGUAGUC
rnacentral:rRNA from 1 species